rnacentral:rRNA from 1 species
AACGAACGCUGGCGGCAUGCCUAACACAUGCAAGUCGAACGAGACCUUCGGGUCUAGUGGCGCACGGGUGCGUAACGCGUGGGAACCUGCCUUUAGGUUCGGAAUAACUCAGAGAAAUUUGAGCUAAUACCGGAUAAUGUCUUCGGACCAAAGAUUUAUCGCCUUUAGAUGGGCCCGCGUAAGAUUAGCUAGUUGGUGGGGUAAAAGGCCUACCAAGGCGACGAUCUUUAGCUGGUCUGAGAGGAUGAUCAGCCACACUGGGACUGAGACACGGCCCAGACUCCUACGGGAGGCAGCAGUGGGGAAUAUUGGACAAUGGGGGCAACCCUGAUCCAGCAAUGCCGCGUGAGUGAAGAAGGCC